rnacentral:rRNA from 1 species
GACGAACGCUGGCGGCGUGCCUAAUACAUGCAAGUAGAACGCUGAAGGAGGAGCUUGCUUCUCUGGAUGAGUUGCGAACGGGUGAGUAACGCGUAGGUAACCUGCCUGGUAGCGGGGGAUAACUAUUGGAAACGAUAGCUAAUACCGCAUAAUAGUAGAUGUUGCAUGACAUUUGCUUAAAAGGUGCAAUUGCAUCACUACCAGAUGGACCUGCGUUGUAUUAGCUAGUUGGUGAGGUAACGGCUCACCAAGGCGACGAUACAUAGCCGACCUGAGAGGGGGAUCGGCCACACUGGGACUGGGACACGGCCCAGACUCCUACGGGAGGCAGCAGUAGGGAAUCUUCGGCAAUGGACGGAAGUCUGACCGAGCAACGCCGCGUGAGUGAAGAAGGUUUUCGGAUCGUAAAGCUCUGUUGUAAGAGAAGAACGAGUGUGAGAGUGGAAAGUUCACACUGUGACGGUAUCUUACCAGAAAGGGACGGCUAACUACGUG